rnacentral:lncRNA from 10 species
UUUUGUUUUCAGUUGACUCACACCAAUGACCAGAGAACCCACUCAUCUGGUUGAUGAAUUGGAAAAGUUGAACUUUCUUCAUCUCUUCAAUCACUUUCUGGGAAUAUGCUCAAGUUUACUUCAAGCAAUCAAUUAGAUACUAUUGAAGCAUUGUCCUUUGAGGAUGGGCCACUGCUUUUUAUAUCAGGGUCACAGUUCACUGUCAAGUCAAGGAGAAGCCUGUAUUUAGAGCAACACUAAUGAUUCUGGCCACUAACUGGGAAUUUGAUCUUCUGGGCUCUUCUCCCAGCUCUCCCACGGUGUGAUUUUAAACUAGAUUGAGCUCUUGUUUAUCCAACUGUAAAAUACAGGUAAUACAGUCCUACCUCACAAGGACUGAGAAAGAAUACUGUUAUGUAUAGUGCUUUAUGGCCUACAGAUGGAAGGUAUAAUCAGUGACAACUUCAUUAUUUUGAAAGUGUUUUCAGAUUCAUCUUGUCCUCCCCUUUCUCUUGACAUCAGUGCUAUCCUAGAGGUGAUGGUGUAAGAAUAUGCCAUCCUUGAACAUGCAUGGAAUUUCAGAAAUUCUUAUGUAAAAUGGUAAAAGGUAUAGUUUUUCUCCAAUACCAGGAAAGUGUAUGUUUUGAUACAAUCUUAAUUACCUUUGAUUAUGUGAAAAAUAAUUUUUAGAAAUUUUCCAUAGCCACAGAAAAUACAAAUCCCCCACUCUAAUCACAACCAAGUUACCAAUUUCUCAGAAAUUCUAGACUGUGUCAUUUAAUUUCUCAAAAUCAGAAUCAUAUCUUUAGCAAGUUAAUGCACCUAUUGAUUUUAGGUAGACUUGAGCUUUUUUUCUUGAUUUAAAUAAUAAACUGGAAAAAAAUGAAUCAAGAGAAAAAUCUGGGUACAAAAGUCACAUAUGAUACUUUUCUAGAAGGCGAAUGAAUGGAUGGUGGCUUUGCCAAUGUGCUGACUUCUGUCAUUUUUAUGUUCAGUGACAAGCACCAUAUGAAUGAUUCUACUCUGCUGAUUCUGGAGAGGACCAAAAUGAACAGAUUGUCAGAGC